GCAUGGCCUCUUUGUCUUCCCAGGGCAUCAUCGAGCAGAAAGGGACAGGCAGAGGAGGGGACAAGAGAGAAGCUGGAAGCCCCAGAAGAGGAGAGAUGAGGACGCAUCACCAGUCUGAGACUGAGGCCUGAAGCUCUGUGGAGAGUUGCUGGUUGAGUCCACACUGAGAGGCUGAAGGAGCUGGAGUGUGACAUCCACGCACAAUGACAGUAUUUGCUGCCUGUGACCGUCAUCUGUGUAGACACCUCACAGACGCGCUCUGCUCAUCUGCUAUGUGCUUCUCAAUCCUGUCAGGUUGACAAUCUCCAUCAAAGGUCACAGCGCACCCCUUGUCAAUUUGACAGCAUAACACCUCUCCUUAAACCCUUCUAGCCUCCAAAUAAAGAUAACAGCAAGUUCAAAAUUC